ACAAAAGCAAAAAGUUGAGCUAGACAGCAUAGGCGGGCAGAAUAUUAUAGCUUCAUGUCCACAGAAGCUCUCCUGAAAAUUUCAGCCAAUUUGGUCAAGAAUCCGAGGUGCCCACUCGUUUUCAAUUUUGUAUUGGAUAUUGGACCCGUUAGUAUGGGGAAAACGACACUUUUUACAUUUUAUUGUCCUGAAAAUUCAAAAUUGAACCAAAUAACUUUCUGGGCGAGCUGUUUAUAGAUUUUUAUAUGGGGAACAACUUUGUAGAACAUCGCGAAACGAUCUGAGCCGAUCUGGCUUAGUUAUAAGUGGUUUAAGCCAAAAGUUUUUCCCAGGGUCGAACUUAGGAUUUAGGUAUAGCCUUUUUAUCUAUAUGCUAACUGUGAUCAGAAAAAAUAGUCUGACAGGUGAUGGAUUUUUGUUGACAACAUUUUCAUUGCAAAUUCCAAUAGAAGAAGAGUUGAGUUGCUUCUGGUGUUCUGAGGUGAAUCGGUACGCUGACCAAGGAGAUGGUCCACCAGAUCGAGAUCCUGGAGGCCGUGUUGGGCAAAUUUUAGAUGCCUACCGUUGUGGCUGCCACAGAUGGAUGCGUUUUAGUAGCAGCAGUUUCGACGGUGGUGGCGAACAGAAGCGAAGAUUUACCUGAGUGUACUAUUUUAAAAUCCAAUACAUCCGGACGACGUUUUUUGUCAGUGUGGCGACAAAGAUUGUGUAUUUUAAUUUAAAAUUUUCCGUUCAAAUAAAUUAAAUGUUAUAAUGUUUGCUCCAGUCGA